rnacentral:rRNA from 1 species
GGGAUAACUCCGGGAAACCGGGGCUAAUACCGGAUGCUUGAUUGAACCGCAUGGUUCAAUUAUAAAAGGUGGCUUUUAGCUACCACUUACAGAUGGACCCGCGGCGCAUUAGCUAGUUGGUGAGGUAACGGCUCACCAAGGCGACGAUGCGUAGCCGACCUGAGAGGGUGAUCGGCCACACUGGGACUGAAACACGGCCCAGACUCCUACGGGAGGCAGCAGUAGGGAAUCUUCCGCAAUGGACGAAAGUCUGACGGAGCAACGCCGCGUGAGUGAUGAAGGUUUUCGGAUCGUAAAACUCUGUUGUUAGGGAAGAACAAGUACCGUUCGAAUAGGGCGGUACCUUGACGGUACCUAACCAGAAAGCCACGGCUAACUACGUGCCAGCAGCCGCGGUAAUACGUAGGUGGCAAGCGUUGUCCGGAAUUAUUGGGCGUAAAGCGCGCGCAGGCGGUUUCUUAAG